GCGUAAUAGCUCACUGGUCGAGUCGGCCUGCGCGGAAGAUGUAACGGGGCUAAACCAUGCACCGAAGCUGCGGCAGCGACACUAUGUGUUGUUGGGUAGGGGAGCGUUCUGUAAGCCUGUGAAGGUGGCCUGUGAGGGUUGCUGGAGGUAUCAGAAGUGCGAAUGCUGACAUAAGUAACGAUAAAGCGGGUGAAAAGCCCGCUCGCCGGAAGACCAAGGGUUCCUGUCCAACGUUAAUCGGGGCAGGGUGAGUCGACCCCUAAGGC
rnacentral:rRNA from 2 species